rnacentral:misc_RNA from 1 species
GAUGAAGAACGUAGCGAAAUGCGAUAAGUAAUGUGAAUUGCAGAAUUCAGUGAAUCAUCGAAUCUUUGAACGCACCUUGCGCCCUUUGGCUAUUCCGAAGGGCAUGCCUGUUUGAGUAUCAUGAACACCUCAACCCUCAUGGUUUGCCAUGACGGGCUUGGACUUUGGGGGUCUUGCUGGAUUGUAGUCAGCUCCCCUUAAACAAAUCAGCUCGCCAGUGUUUGGUGGCAUCACAGGUGUGAUAACUAUCUACGCUUGUGGUUUUACAUCAGAUAACCUUCAGUGAUGGAGGUUCACUGGAGCUCAUAAACGUGUCUCUCCUCUGUGAGGACAGCUCUUUGAAUGUUUGAUCUCAAAUCAGGCAGGACUACACGCUGAACUUAAGCAUAUCAAUAAGCGGAGGA